rnacentral:rRNA from 1 species
AGCGAACGCUGGCGGCAGGCCUAACACAUGCAAGUCGAACGAACUCUUCGGAGUUAGUGGCGGACGGGUGAGUAACACGUGGGAACGCGCCUUUAGGUUCGGAAUAACUCAGGGAAACUUGUGCUAAUACCGAAUGUGCCCUUCGGGGGAAAGAUUUAUCGCCUGUAGAGCGGCCCGCGUCUGAUUAGCUAGUUGGUGAGGUAAUGGCUCACCAAGGCUACGAUCAGUGGCUGGUCUGGGAGGAUGACCAGCCACAUUGGUACUGAGACUGGGCCCAAACUCCUACGGGAGGCAGCAGUGGGGAAUCUUGCGCAAUGGGCGAAAGCCUGACGCAGCCAUGCCGCGUGGAUGAUGAAGUUCUUAGGAUUGUAAAAUCCUUUCACCGGUGAAGAUAAUGACGGUAGCCGGAGAAGAAGCCCCGGCUAACUUCGUGCCAGCAGCCGCCGUAACAC